UUGGAGCGGCGGGCCGCUGAACGCUUGUGCGUAGGGAUAUAGUGCGCGUGUUUUCAUUAAUUAGAUGGCGUUGUUAAUUAAUUGCUUUUGAAAUAUCAUUGGAAUAUUUGUACUAUCUCGUAGGGCACCGAUUGUGCUGGUUGUAAGCGGAUAUUGUGUUUUCCGGAAUUUCGAAUGCCGCGCUGGCAGUCACGUGACCGGUUCUGAUGUCGAGUCCGACUGCGCGGAAGGCGGUCUUUUCGUUCCCCGCCAUGAUUGGAGGCGGAUGUGUUGCGGGUGCUCCGGAUUUUGGUACCGGUGAGUGAGGUUCUAGAGGUUUGUAACUGCUGAAUCUAAUAUGGUAACUACUCAGUUGAAUUUAUGUGAUGAAUAUUUGUUUUGUUGUAUAACUUUAAUGUGAAAACCGGUUUAUAUGAGCUGAUAUGUUCGAUUCUCCGGGACAGUGGCUCGGUUGCCCCCGAUUCGGGGAGGACAAGCUGUGGAGCUUGUUUGUGGAGGCUGCCCUGGUGGCCUCGUGAGUUCGGUCGCCGUGGUCGUUUGGCAGCGCGCCAGAGACUGGAUAAGCCGGUAUGUUAUCACUAAAGAUGCUCAUUGUCUAUCUUUGCUUUGAAUUUCGAUACCUCAACGUCUGCUGUGUAUUGCUUGAUUUAUUUACUUACUUGUAGAAUGUUAAACAGAGUUCUUGGACCCCGAGCUGUGUUGUGACCCAUUUUGCAUCGUGCCAACUGGUAUUUGACUCGAGCUCGUAUUGUGUGGAUGUGUUUGCAGUAACAAUCAAAUGAUCGAAGACGGGAUCCAGAGCGGUCCAAUACAGAUCUGUCCACGGCCAAGUCUCUGAGGUGGCCAGGUGACCGAGGGGUGGCAGGGAGCAGAUGCGGGCGAUGGUGGCGCGAGCAGUGGCCGGGGGCCAUCUGCAUCUACAGUUACGGCUUCCUUCUCCGCGCCUUCAUCUGCUGGUGAAGCCCAGUAGCGGCUUCCCUCUCUGCGCCUUCGGCUGCGUCUGGAGCUACAGUUGCUGCUUAGUCUCUGCGCCUUCAUCUGCCUCUGGAGCUGCAGCACCGGCUGCGCGCCGCGCCUUCCAGGAUUCUGCCUGAGUGGUGUGUGGCUGGCUGGCGCGGAGUGGUGUGCGGCUGGCUGGCACGGAGUGGUGUGCGGCUGGCUGGCGCGGAGUGGUGCGCGGCUGGCUGGCGCAGAGUGGUGUGCGCCGGCGAGAGGCGCUGAGUGGUGUGCGCCCCCGAGAGGCGCUGAGUGGUGUGCGCCCCCGAGAGGCGCUGAGUUGUGUGCGCCAGCGAGAGGCGCUGAGUGGUGUGCGCCAGCGAGAGGCGCUGCGUGGUGUGCGCCAGCGAGAGGCGCUGCGUGGUGUGCGCCAGCGAGAGGCGCUGCGUGGUGUGCGCCAGCGAGAGGCGCUGCGUGGUGCGCGCCCUUGGUGCGUGCAGUGUAGUGUGCCCCUGGACGGGCUGAGAGGGUGCUCCCAGCGGGUGAGUGCCCCUCUGGCGGAGACAUCUUUCGUGGAGCCGCACCUUCAGCUCUGCAUCUGCUUGAGUAGCAGCGACUGCCUCUCCUCGCUGCCUGGUGCCGGCAUCCUGGUUCGGCCGGAGCUGGGAGCUGGAGGAUCUGGCCGUCUGAGGUUUGCUGCUACCUGCUGCUUCUGCUGGACUGAGUUGACUGUGGCUCGGUUGCCCCCGAUUCGGGGAGGACAAGCUGUGGAGCUUGUUUGUGGAGGCUGCCCUGGUGGCCUCGUGAGUUCGGUCGCCGUGGUCGUUUGGCAGCGCGCCAGAGACUGGAUAAGCCGGUAUGUUAUCACUAAAGAUGCUCAUUGUCUAUCUUUGCUUUGAAUUUCGAUACCUCAACGUCUGCUGUGUAUUGCUUGAUUUAUUUACUUACUUGUAGAAUGUUAAACAGAGUUCUUGGACCCCGAGCUGUGUUGUGACCCAUUUUGCAUCGUGCCAACUGGUAUUUGACUCGAGCUCGUAUUGUGUGGAUGUGUUUGCAGUAACAAUCAAAUGAUCGAAGACGGGAUCCAGAGCGGUCCAAUACAGAUCUGUCCACG
rnacentral:lncRNA from 1 species